GUGAGAAUGAUUCUCAUGAUGACACAUAGGAAAUGACAUUUUUGUUAAUCACACAUGGUGAUAAGGUUAAUUGUUUAAAAUGCUCCUCAAAUAAUAAAAAAGGGAUAACGAAUUGUCUAGCAAUAAUUAAGUAAAGUAGAUUUACUUUUCAGAAAUGCAGGUUCCGGAACAUCCAACAAUAGUUUUAGGGUCGAAAACAAUUGCAGUAGUGAAUGCUGAAAAAUAAUUGACUCAACAAAGGAAAUAUUAAUCAAUAAAUCAAAGAAAAAUAGUAAAGAGUGGAAAACAUGCAAAACCUUGAGAAAACUUGAUGCUUGUCUCUUUCACAGGAAUAAUUUUGAUUAUGCUCCAUCCCAUGUCUCCAAACCAUAACCUACAGUGCAUGUAAAUCAAUAGAUUGAAGAAGUUUCUAAGUUAUACACUGCAGUGAUCUAAAAUUGAAAUUUCUUAAAAAAAUACCAUACCAGUAUCAAUUUCUUCCCAUAACUCUGCUGUAUUUAUCGACUGAGUAUUGAUUCAGGUGAUGAAUAAAUAAAAUUUGAAUUGCCACUGAAAAAAAGAAGAAAGAAGACAUGAAGAAACCUGUUCAAUUCAAACGAAUUUAAUACUCAA
rnacentral:lncRNA from 1 species